AUUCUACUCCAUCCGUCCGGAAAUACUUGUCAUCAAAAUGGAUGAAAAUGGAUGUAUCUAGAACUAAAAUACAUCUAGAUACAUCCAUUUCAAUGACAAGUAUUUCUGGACGGAGGGAAUAUUUU
rnacentral:pre_miRNA from 1 species